AAGUUUACAUUUCGUUGAGAGCUACCAUGCAGUCGAGCGGCAGCGGAAAGUAGCUUGCUACUUUGCCGGCGAGCGGCGGACGGGUGAGUAAUGUCUGGGAAACUGCCUGAUGGAGGGGGAUAACUACUGGAAACGGUAGCUAAUACCGCAUAACGUCGCAAGACCAAAGAGGGGGACCUUCGGGCCUCUUGCCAUCAGAUGUGCCCAGAUGGGAUUAGCUAGUAGGUGGGGUAACGGCUCACCUAGGCGACGAUCCCUAGCUGGUCUGAGAGGAUGACCAGCCACACUGGAACUGAGACACGGUCCAGACUCCUACGGGAGGCAGCAGUGGGGAAUAUUGCACAAUGGGCGCAAGCCUGAUGCAGCCAUGCCGCGUGUAUGAAGAAGGCCUUCGGGUUGUAAAGUACUUUCAGCGGGGAGGAAGGCGUUGAGGUUAAUAACCUCAGCGAUUGACGUUACCCGCAGAAGAAGCACCGGCUAACUCCGUGCCAGCAGCCGCGGUAAUACGGAGGGUGCAAGCGUUAAUCGGAAUUACUGGGCGUAAAGCGCACGCAGGCGGUCUGUCAAGUCGGAUGUGAAAUCCCCGGGCUCAACCUGGGAACUGCAUUCGAAACUGGCAGGCUAGAGUCUUGUAGAGGGGGGUAGAAUUCCAGGUGUAGCGGUGAAAUGCGUAGAGAUCUGGAGGAAUACCGGUGGCGAAGGCGGCCCCCUGGACAAAGACUGACGCUCAGGUGCGAAAGCGUGGGGAGCAAACAGGAUUAGAUACCCUGGUAGUCCACGCCGUAAACGAUGUCGACUUGGAGGUUGUGCCCUUGAGGCGUGGCUUCCGGAGCUAACGCGUUAAGUCGACCGCCUGGGGAGUACGGCCGCAAGGUUAAAACUCAAAUGAAUUGACGGGGGCCCGCACAAGCGGUGGAGCAUGUGGGUUUAAUUCGAUGCAACGCGAGACCUUACCUACUCUUGACAUCCAGAGAACUUAGCAGAGAUGCUUUGGUGCCUUCGGGAACUCUGGAGACAGGUGCUGCAUGGCUGUCGUCAGCUCGUUGUUGUGAAAUGUUGGGUUAAGUCCCGCAACGAGCGCACCUUAUCCUUUGUGCAGCGGUUCGGCCGGGACUCAAGGAGACUGCAGUGAUAACUGGAGAAGGUGGGGGAUGACGUCAGUCAUCAUGUCCCUUUACGAUAGCUUACACGGCUACAUGGGCUUCAAGAGAGCGACCUCGCGAGAACAAAGCGGG
rnacentral:rRNA from 1 species